UACGAAGGGUGCAAACGUUGCUCGGAAUUAUUGGGCGUAAGCGCACGUAGGCGGCAUUGCAAGUCGGAUGUGAAAUCUUAUGGCUUAACCAUAAAAGUGCAUCCGAAACUGCCGUGCUUGAGUGUGGGAGAGGUGCGUGGAAUUCCUGGUGUAGCGGUGAAAUGCGCAGAUAUCAGGAGGAACACCGAUGGCGAAGGCAGGUCUCUGGGCCGAUACUGACGCUGAGGAGCGAAAGCGUGGGGAGCGAACAGG
rnacentral:rRNA from 1 species